GACGUAGGGUGCGAGCGUUGUCCGGAAUUACUGGGCGUAAAGCGUGCGCAGGCGGUUCGUUAAGUCAGCUGUGAAAGCCCCGGGCUUAACCUGGGAAUGGCGGUUGAAACUGGCGAACUUGAAUCUGGCAGAGGGGGGUGGAAUUCCACGUGUAGCAGUGAAAUGCGUAGAGAUGUGGAGGAACACCGAUGGCGAAGGCAGCCCCCUGGGCUGAGAUUGACGCUCAGGCACGAAAGCGUGGGGAGCAAACAGG
rnacentral:rRNA from 1 species